rnacentral:lncRNA from 1 species
GGCCGCUGUGUCAGAACUUGGUCUUUUCUUUCAAAACAGUCAUGGAGCAAAGGAGGCAUCCUUUAAAAUCUCUUUGAUGAUGUAAAGCUGAUUCUCUUUCCCAGGAAUUUUAUGGGCAAGGAUAGGAAGAAGAUUCAGAUAAAGAAAUGUUAACACUUAUCCUUUAAAAUCUAGGAAUGAAAACCACGGGGAAAAGCAAAACAUGAAAUCAAAACUAACAUAGGAUUUUCAAGGUAAGUUCUACUUUGGUACGUUUUUAAGAUACAUUUUUAAUAAUACUUCUUUGGGAAUUUUAUAAAGAAAAGUA